ACAGAAUUCAUCUGUAGCCCUUGGCCAUUCACACCUUCAGACUUCACUCAUUCUUCUCUCACCAUCUCUCUGUGACUAGGGACUGUCCCCUCUUCUGUGAGUUUUUAAAGAGUCUGAGAAUGGAGAAAAAGGACUCCGAAGCUUAUAAGUUUGAAGUUUGGCUGAGUACAAAAUUUCUCAAGUGAACAUUAUUUUCCCGCAUCCCUUUCAAGGCAACCACUGUUGUUGUAUUCAGAAUUACUAAGAGGAAAUCUGGGGAGAGUGCGAUUACAGGUCCUUUGCCCUUUCCUCUACAACCACUGAUGAAUGAGAAAUCUUGGAAAAGAAGCAAACUGGAAGUCAGGAGGGACAUGUCAAGGGAGUUGUGUAUUCCAUUUUUAAAAAUAAAGAAUCUACAAUUCAAAGAUUGUGCCAAAUCAGAGAAGAAAAGGAAAAUUGAGUCUUUAGGGAUUUCUGCAUAUAAGUCUAUGUCAUUUGCAAGCAGAUAUCAUUUUACGUCUUCCUUCUAUACUUGGAUGCCUUUUAUUUCUUUUUGUUGCUUCAUCGCUCUGACUAGACUUCCAGUACUAUAUUGAAUAGAAGUGGUGAGAGUGGGCAUCCUUGCCUUGUUCCCAAUUUAGAGUUGCUUGGAGAGAGUGUGGAGAGGGAAAGAAUACAGGAAAAGAAGAAGAUGACAGAAAAGGAUGAGAUGAGAAAUACGGAGAAAUGUUAGAUUGCAUUAAUUUAAUAAAGGGCUUGAAAUAAUUGGAACAUAAUCUUUUUAAAAGUAACUUUAAUGCUAGAAAACAUAUUUUACUCGUUUGUUUGAAGUCUAUUUUUUAAGUCUUCCUUAUGGAUCUAGCCCUGGGCUUGCUGUGGAGAUAACGUAGUGGAUAACAGAGAGACAGUGAAUAUUUUAGUUGAGUACUUUUUUCUAAGUUUAGAAUAUCUGCUUAUUAUUUAGGGUGUGGUCCUAUAGAUUAACUAUAUUCAUCUAUAUGUUCUAAAGCAAGGCUUGAAAACAGUUGCAUCUAAAUUUCAAGUGAAUUUCUCUCAUUAAACCAUUAUUGAAUAAUAGUAAAGGAUUAACUGUCCACUCCAAGGUACAGACUCCUGCUUUGCUUCUACUUCACUUGUUUGCCAUUAGUACCACUUACUUUGUGAGAACAAGGAUAUCUUUCUCAAAUGUUGUAUUAGUUUAGAAAAUAUUACUAUCAUUCCAGAGUACCAUCAUCUCCUAAAUGUUAAGCAACUGAGACACUUUAGAAUUUUCGGACCAGAUACCAUGUUAGCAUCUAGACUAAUAAGGUUCUGGGCAUAUCUCCUUCCUAGGAUAUGAUUGUGUGACCACCAAUCAAACACUAGGAACCUACAGGUUUCACCAUCCAACUUCCUGAGCAUUUAAUCAUCGGAAUAAUGCUCACAGCUCAUUAUCCUUUUAUUAUUUGUUAGGGCCUUUUCGAGUAUGCAGGAAAUGUUUUAGAAUUGCAUAUGCAUCAGCCCAUGAGGAGCUACCUGUUUUGUUAGAUAUUUAAGGAAAGAUAUUUUCAGGAAAACAUCCUGGCAUAUGGUAUAACUGCUGAAUCCAUCACAGUGCCACUUUUCAUAUUGUUUUAUGGGCAGUGAAACAAGGCACAUUAUGACUAUAGGGAACAAUAAUUCACCAGAGAUUCUAUUUUUUACUUUGCCUGCACACUAAAUUAUGAAGGCAGAUUGUUUCUUGGUGUUUGCAGAAAUUUAUGGCAUGUACAUAUUUUUCUGUAAAUGUCCUUUCAACUGAAAGAUGUUACACAAAACUCAGGGGAG
ensembl:lncRNA